ensembl:lncRNA
UGUUUUUCUACAUUGCUAUGUGUGUUUCUUUUGGAUGAUUAAAAGUGGUAAAAUUCUCCUACGACUCCUCGCUCCUUUGCACCGUGCUCCUCACAGUAGCACCACGUGAUAGAAUUCCAGACCAUAACAAAGCGAGUCCCGACCUGAUCAACUUUGCGAGGGCGUUCGUGGGGGAAACCCUCGUGACGCUGUUCCGGAUCGGGAUAACUUACCAUUGCCCCGUGGAGCUCCCAGACACCACCAACCUUGGCUGGAAGGAGGCAGUCUUCCCGAGUCCCAAGUCAAGUCAGCCAUAGUCCAUGGCUCACCCACGCCUGCUGCCCAAGUUCACCGGCUGUUAACAUGGCAAGCCGAAUGAACAUUGAUAUGGCAAGCCGAACAAACUAUAAGAGUUCGCGCCAGUGUCGACCCAGCCCCAGAGCAAAGCCCAGGAUGGGCUCCUGUUCUCGAGUUAAUCCCAGGAUGUGCUCCUGAUCCCGAGUUAAGCCCAGGGAGGGCUCUUGCUUCCCCGUUUAGCUCAGGGAGGCCUCCUGACCCCCGUUAAAAGCCCAGUGAGGGCUCCUGAUCCCCAGUUCCACCCAGGAAGGGCCCCAGAUCCUCAAGUAUGCCCAGGGGGGCUACUGUCCCCCAUAUUAACCCAGUGUCGGCUCCAGCCCCAGAGCUCACUUCAGUGUCAGCUCCAGACUCAGAGCUCACUCCAGUGUCGGCCUCAGAGCUCACUCCAGGGUCGGCUCAAGUGCCCACUCCUCCAGAGCACCGGCCAGAGCCAGCUCCUCCAGAGCAACCAUCAAGAUACAUAGUUUUCCCAAGAAAAAAGUUUUUUUUGGGGGGUGGGGGAUCAUAUGCCCGUGGCUGUGGUGGCCAAGCCGGCUAAGGCCACGAAAGAUCCGCCAUGGCCUCCUGAGUCCCCUGAUCUGCCAUGGCUCCCUGAACUGUCUACUCCGCCAUGGCUUCCUGAUCCGCCCUGGAGGCUCUCCUUGUCUCCACCCUGUUCCAGUCCUGCACCAGUCCCCCCCCCUUAAUGGUAUUAUUACGGCAUGGGACACGCUGUCCGGGAGGGGCGCAAUCUGUCAAAUGUAUGUUCCUGUUUUCCUUAUUUGAUCCUUCCCAUUCCUGUCCUCAUCAUGUGAAUUCGUCUCCAGUUGUGUUUGAUUAGUUUGUAUUGUUCCUAGGUGUGUCCCAUUGUUAACUGCCCUAUUUAGUUCUAGCCCAUUCUGUUCUCCCUUGUCUGGAAUUGUGUUUCUCUACAUUGCUACGUGUGUUUCCUUUGGAUGAUUAAAUGUGGUAAAAUUUUCCUACGACGCCUCCCU